rnacentral:misc_RNA from 1 species
AUUUAUAUCCAUACUUGCUAAGAAAUCAACCUUAUAGUUCUAGAGCUCCAAUACAACGUAUGAAUUCAAGGAAAAACUAAAGGGGUUAGAGAAACUAUUAAGAAGAUAGUUGUAUUUAAUUAGAUAUCAAAUCAAGUAAAAAUUUUGCACUUCCAAUCAUAUAGGCCUAGCAUGGGAAACAGGCUCACAUUUCUACAAGUAAAGACAACUGAGAAAAUAUGCUAUCCUCUAGUAUUGUCUAGAAUGUUAACAAAGAAUAAAGCAAAUAUCCACAUUGUAAUUUUAAUUGGCAGCAAGAUUACAUUUUAAAGGCAUUUAAAAAAAGGAUUAAGCCCUGAGACCAACCGGUUGUAAUAGUUCGAAAACGUUC